rnacentral:lncRNA from 1 species
GUUUAUACAACAUUUUGCUUAUUAUUAGGCUUCUGGUUUCAUUUUCUGACUCUGCAGUAUGACUGUCCUUGGAAAUCAUAAAAUGUCCUACACUCCUCUCACUGAUGAACAGAACUGUCAGUGGCUGGUGGGAUUCUAAGAUCAAUUCAUCUCAAGGGAUGUAGGAAAAGAAUAUACAACAGUUAUCAUGUUAAGAUGUUUCCGAAAUAUUCACAGGCACGUGAGUUCCUUAGAAGCAGAAGACAAUGACCGUCUCUUCCCCUGCGCUCAGCGGGCACAGUACUUGCCUAGAGCACUGUCACCUCCUGACGAGCAUGGCUUGGUUUGCUCCAGUCCKGUAAAAUAUGCCAGAAAAGAUUCUCGGAAUACAUCUAAUGCCUCUAACUCAAACUCAAGUGUCAGUACCUCAAGUCCAUUAAGAAAACCCUCUGGAGUUUCAUGCAGUUGCUCCACUGAUAGUUUUGUCGGCAUCGGUCAUUCUCAGAGGCGUCAAGAAACUAACUCCAAAGUAUACAGCAG